UGAGGAAUAUUGGUCAAUGGGCGCAAGCCUGAACCAGCCAUGCCGCGUGCAGGAAGACGGCCUUAUGGGUUGUAAACUGCUUUUACAUAAGACUAACCGUAUAUUUGCGAAUAUACCUGAAUGUAUUAUGAGAAUAAGGAUCGGCUAACUCCGUGCCAGCAGCCGCGGUAAUACGGAGGAUCCGAGCGUUAUCCGGAUUUAUUGGGUUUAAAGGGUGCGUAGGCUGACUGAUAAGUCAGCGGUGAAAAGCAUAGGCUUAACCUAUGUCUUGCCGUUGAUACUGUCAGACUAGAAUAUAAAUGGAGUAGGCGGAAUGAAUCAUGUAGAGGUGACAUUCAUAGAUAUGAUUUAGAACACCGUUCGCGAAGGCGGCUUACUAAGAUAUAAUUGACGCUGAUGCACGAAAGCGUGGGUAUCGAACAG
rnacentral:rRNA from 1 species